rnacentral:rRNA from 1 species
CCUACGGGAGGCAGCAGUGGGGAAUAUUGGACAAUGGGCGAAAGCCUGAUCCAGCCAUGCCGCGUGUGUGAAGAAGGUCUUCGGAUUGUAAAGCACUUUAAGCUGGGAGGAAGGGCAGUAAGUUAAUACCUUGCUGUUUUGACGUUACCAGCAGAAUAAGCACCGGCU